rnacentral:lncRNA from 12 species
CCCUCGGCGCAAACCCGGAAUAUCCAGGGACUCGCUCGUCAUUCGGUCCAUUUUACAAAGGAGGAGACUGAGGUCCGGAGUGGUCUGUGGACUUGUCCAACCCUCCGGGGAUCCCAGACCCCCUUUCCUCUGCACUGUCCUGGUGGACUUCCUGCUCCUGCCCCGGCUGGGUGGGGGCCCCGCAGCACCCCCUCCGUGCGCCCUGCGGCUCAGAGGGGAAGCUGUUGCCCCAGCUUGGCUUGAGCGCACAAGGACUGGGGAGUCCCGCUGCCCCCGCCCUGUGCCCCCCGCGGCCCAGACCCGCCUUGGAACCCCAGGGCUGCCGGCCCCACCCCUGACGCCUGCUGAAGCCCGGCACCGCACAGGCCCGACCGCAGCGCCCACUGCGCCGUCAGGGAGACUGAGGCUGAGACCGACAGCGACGACCCAGGACUUAGAAGCUGGGCUGAGUAGAACAAAGAUCCUUUGUCCCUCUUUGCUCUGUGUAGCCCUGGCAUGUGGGUCCUGUUUUCUACCGGACAUCUGUCUUUUCUAGGUUUGGAAUAUUGUGGUACAGACUAUUUCCUGGCCUAGAAAUACUUCCACUAUAGAUUAAAAUGUAAAAAGGCUCAGUCCUUAGUCCUUAGCCCAUAUAAGUCCUCAGUAACUAUCUGUGCUGGAAUGUUAGCUGAUGAAUCACGAACCAGUGCCUGUCCUCCGGGGCUUCAUAUUUAAGCUCCACACAGGGAAUGUAGUGAUGACCUGCCCCUGGAAGUGGCUGAGCAGAUACUAAAAACGUCCUGGGCUCACAGAGCCCUUCAGUUUCCUCGUGCAAAGGUUCUGCACCACAUGCCAGGGCUACAGAGCAAAGGAGGGAUCAUCCGAGGAGGCGGAAAGUCUUCACAGAGGAGGUGACAUUUGAACUGGUUUUGAAGGUGCAGAAGAAUCUCCAAAAGGAGAAAGAGAAGAGUGCGUUGGGCAAGCAGCACCUGUAAGACCCAGAAGCAUGAAGGGUGAGUUGCAGUUGUGACCCGAGUGAAACCUUAGAGCAGCUCUGCAAUCCCAGGAGGCAGAUGCUGCUCAUCAUAUUAGCAAGUGUUUAUUGAGCACUUCGUGUGUGCCUGGCACUAUGGGUGUUCUAAACAUAUCAAUUUCUUUAAUCUCCAUCAAGCUUAUGAGGUAGCUGCUAUCUAUCCCCACUUUAGAGAUGAGGAAACUGAUUCCCACAGAUUCUAAGUAGCUUCCUGAGGGUCACAGAGCUAAAGGCGGGAAGCACACUGCAUCUCCCUUUCCUCCAUUUCACAGCAUUGCCUGAUUCGGGGUUUCCUGUGAGAGGAGUGUGCAGACCACAGAUCUAUUAUAUGAUAAGGCCAGAAUGAGCUGCUAAUGGGGAAGUCAUUGUUCAGCUGGGGAGGAGGAGGGGAGGGAAGAAGAAAUCGCAUGUGAUGACAAGAUGCAAAAUUGGAGGUGGCUAAAAUUAAGUGCUAUUACUCACACACCUCGGGCCCACUCCCACACCUGAUUUUCUUCCUGUUUUCUCCCUGCUAAUUUUUAGUAGGGCCAGUCACAGGUUGCUGGUGAUAAGCAAUAGGGAGAAUGACAUUGUCCAGAGUGGCCUCCCUGCUGACACUGAGCUGGGAGGCAGCACCAACUCCCUGGUGUGGGAGCCACUUUAAUUUCCACCUUUCUCCUAGUCUUUCUUUUCUAAGGCUCGACUUCUAAUUACAUUCCCCUUCUCCCACUCGCUUGUUGAAGACACUGAGGAUCAGGAAAUUUGUCAAUAGGUAUGGUGGGUUGGGGUGGCUGUGGGAUGGAGGGGAGGGAGGAGGAGAGGGAAGGACAGAAUGGUGGAGGGAGGGAGAGGGGAAUAGAGAGGGGAGAGGAGGAGGAGAAAUAAAGAGGGAAGGGAGGGCA